GGGCCCGCACAAGCGGUGGAGCAUGUGGUUUAAUUCGAUGAUACGCGAGGAACCUUACCAGGGCUUAAAUGCAGAACGACAGAGGUGGAAACACCUCCUUCUUCGGACGGUCUGCAAGGUGCUGCAUGGUUGUCGUCAGCUCGUGCUGUGAAGUGUCGGGUUAAGUCCCAUAACGAGCGCAACCCCUAUUUCUAGUUGCCAGCGGUUCGGCCGGGGACUCUAGAGAAAUGCCAGCGUAAGCUGUGAGGAAGGUGGGGAUGACGUCAAAUCAUCACGGCCCUUACGUCCUGGGCUACACACGUGCUACAAUGGUAGGGACAGAGAGUUGCCAACCCGCGAGGGUGAG
rnacentral:rRNA from 1 species